GUAACAUGGAUUGCUUGCAAUCUGAUGACGAGUGGCGCACGGGUGCGUAACGCGUAUGCAAUCUACCUUAUACAGGAGAAUAGCCCAGAGAAAUUUGGAAUAAUGCUCCAUAAUAUCAUUUAUCAGCAUUGGUUUAUGAUUAAAGCUCCGGCGGUAAAAGAUGAGCAUGCGUUCUAUUAGCUAGUAGGUGAGGUAACGGCUCACCUAGGCUACGAUAGAUAGGGGCCCUGAGAGGGGGAUCCCCCACACUGGUACUGAGACACGGACCAGACUCCUACGGGAGGCAGCAGUGAGGAAUAUUGGACAAUGGAGGAAACUCUGAUCCAGCCAUGCCGCGUGCAGGAUGACUGCCCUAUGGGUUGUAAACUGCUUUUAUAUAGGAAGAAACACUCCCACGUGUGGGGGCUUGACGGUACUAUAUGAAUAAGGAUCGGCUAACUCCGUGCCAGCAGCCGCGGUAAUACGGAGGAUCCAAGCGUUAUCCGGAAUCAUUGGGUUUAAAGGGUCCGCAGGCGGCCUGUUAAGUCAGAGGUGAAAUCCUACAGCUCAACUGUAGAACUGCCUUUGAUACUGAUAGGCUUGAGUUAUUGUGAAGUGGUUAGAAUGCGUGGUGUAGCGGUGAAAUGCUUAGAUAUCACACAGAAUACCCAUUGCGAAGGCAGAUCACUAACAAUAUACUGACGCUCAUGGACGAAAGCGUGGGGAGCGAACGGGAUUAGAUACCCCGGUAGUCCACGCCGUAAACGAUGGAUACUAACUGUUCGACCUUCGGGUUGAGUGGUCAAGCGAAAGUGAUAAGUAUCCCACCUGGGGAGUA
rnacentral:rRNA from 1 species